rnacentral:rRNA from 1 species
AUGGGAGUGACAAAGGAACGGGGUAGACGAAGCGGUCUGGAAAGGCCCGCCAGAGAAGGUGACAGCCCUGUAGUCGAAACUUCGUUCCCUCCCGAGUGGCUCCUGAGUACGGCGGGACACGGGGAAUCCCGUCGGAAGCAGGGAGGACCAUCUCCCAAGGCUAAAUACUCCCUAGUGACCGAUAGUGAACCAGUACCGUGAGGGAAAGGUGAAAAGCACCCCGGAAGGGGAGUGAAAGAGAACCUGAAACCGUGUGCCUACAAGUAGUCAGAGCCCGUUAAUGGGUGAUGGCGUGCCUUUUGUAGAAUGAACCGGCGAGUUACGAUGGCGUGCGAGGUUAAGUCGAAAAGACGGAGCCGCAGCGAAAGCGAGUCUGAAUAGGGCGUAUAGUACGUCGUCGUAGACCCGAAACCAGGUGAUCUACCCAUGUCCAGGGUGAAGGUAGGGUAACACCUACUGGAGGCCCGAACCCACGCACGUUGAAAAGUGCGGGGAUGAGGUGUGGGUAGGGGUGAAAUGCCAAUCGAACCUGGAGAUAGCUGGUUCUCCCCGAAAUAGCUUUAGGGCUAGCCUCAAGGGAAGAGUCUUGGAGGUAGAGCACUGAUUGAGCUAGGGGCCCUCAUCGGGUUACCGAACUCAGUCAAACUCCGAAUGCCAACGACUUAUCCUUGGGAGUCAGACUACGAGUGAUAAGAUCCGUGGUCGAGAGGGAAACAGCCCAGAUCACCAGCUAAGGUCCCAAAGUGCACGUUAAGUGGAAAAGGAUGUGGAGUUGCCCAGACAACCAGGAUGUUGGCUUAGAAGCAGCCAUCAUUUAAAGAGUGCGUAAUAGCUCACUGGUCGAGUGACUCUGCGCCGAAAAUGUACCGGGGCUAAACGUGCCACCGAAGCUGUGGGAUGACCGUUGGUCAUCGGUAGGGGAGCGUUCUAAGUGCACCGAAGCGAGACCGGAAGGACUCGUGGAGCGCUUAGAAGUGAGAAUGCCGGUGUGAGUAGCGAAAACAGAGGUGAGAAUCCUCUGCACCGAAAGCCUAAGGGUUCCUGAGGAAGGUUCGUCCGCUCAGGGUUAGUCGGGACCUAAGCCGAGGCCGAAAGGCGUAGGUGAUGGGCAACAGGUAGAGAUUCCUGUACCACCUCCUCACCGUUUNNNNNNNNNNNNNNNNNNNNNNNNNNNNNNNNNNNNNNNNNNNNNNNNNNNNNNNNNNNNNNNNNNNNNNNNNNNNNNNNNNNNNNNNNNNNNNNNNGCAAAGGCUGAGCCGUGAUGGCGAAGGGACCAUCGGUCCCGAAGUCCCCGAUCCUACACUGCCAAGAAAAGCCUCUAGCGAGGUGAGAGGUGCCCGUACCGCAAACCGACACAGGUAGGCGAGGAGAGAAUCCUAAGGUGCGCGGGAGAACUCUCGUUAAGGAACUCGGCAAAAUGACCCCGUAACUUCGGGAGAAGGGGUGCUCUCUUGGGUGAUGAGCCCGAGGGAGCCGCAGUGAAAAGGCCCAAGCGACUGUUUAUCAAAAACACAGGUCUCUGCGAAGCCGAAAGGCGAAGUAUAGGGGCUGACACCUGCCCGGUGCUGGAAGGUUAAGGGGAGCGCUUAGCGAAAGCGAAGGUGCGAACCGAAGCCCCAGUAAACGGCGGCCGUAACUAUAACGGUCCUAAGGUAGCGAAAUUCCUUGUCGGGUAAGUUCCGACCCGCACGAAAGGUGUAACGACUUGGGCACUGUCUCAACGAGAGACCCGGUGAAAUCAUACUACCUGUGAAGAUGCAGGUUACCCGCGACAGGACGGAAAGACCCCGUGGAGCUUUACUGCAGCCUGAUAUGGAAUUUUGGUAUCGCUUGUACAGGAUAGGUGGGAGCCUGGGAAGCCGGAGCGCCAGCUUCGGUGGAGGCGCCGGUGGGAUACCACCCUGGCGGUAUUGAAAUUCUAACCCGCACCCCUUAUCGGGGUGGGAGACAGUGUCAGGUGGGCAGUUUGACUGGGGCGGUCGCCUCCCAAAAGGUAACGGAGGCGCCCAAAGGUUCCCUCAGAAUGGUUGGAAAUCAUUCGGAGAGUGCAAAGGCACAAGGGAGCUUGACUGCGAGACGGACAGGUCGAGCAGGGACGAAAGUCGGGCUUAGUGAUCCGGUGGUUCCGUAUGGAAGGGCCAUCGCUCAACGGAUAAAAGCUACCCCGGGGAUAACAGGCUGAUCUCCCCCAAGAGUCCACAUCGACGGGGAGGUUUGGCACCUCGAUGUCGGCUCAUCGCAUCCUGGGGCUGUAGUCGGUCCCAAGGGUUGGGCUGUUCGCCCAUUAAAGCGGUACGCGAGCUGGGUUCAGAACGUCGUGAGACAGUUCGGUCCCUAUCCGUCGCGGGCGCAGGAAAUUUGAGAGGAGCUGUCCUUAGUACGAGAGGACCGGGAUGGACGCACCGCUGGUGUACCAGUUGUCCCGCCAGGGGCACCGCUGGGUAGCUAUGUGCGGAAGGGAUAAGCGCUGAAAGCAUCUAAGCGUGAAGCCCCCCUCAAGAUGAGAUUUCCCAUCGCGUCAAGCGAGUAAGAUCCCUCGAAGAUGACGAGGUCGAUAGGUCCGAGGUGGAAGCGUGGCGACACGUGGAGCUGACGGAUACUAAUCGAUCGAGGACUUAACCAA